AUGGUUUAAGGAAAAAAAACCUAAACUUGUUUGAGAAUGUGCCCUGGAAAAAUCUGGUGUACUUAAGCUUACUUUGUAUUUCAUAACAUUGAAGCUAGAGUUGCGACUAUGUGCUCAUUCCUGGCAUAAACACAUACUGAAUCAAGUGUUGUUUUUCCAUUUAUUUAAUAAACAUUUACUUUUUAAACUAUACAAUUGGUUGCCACUCACCCUGAGACUCCACUCUGGUUCUGCACUGCGAGUGGUGAAGGCAUUUAUUGUCCUGACCCCGGAAUACCUCUCCCAUGACCAGGACCAGCUCACCUAGGAGCUGCAGCAGCAUGUGAAGUCAGUGACAGCCCCAUAUAAGUACCCGAGGAAGGUGGAAUUUGUCCCAGAGCUGCCCAAAAUC